rnacentral:rRNA from 1 species
UACAGAGGGUGCGAACGUUGUUCGGAAUUACUGGGCGUAAAGCGCGUGUAGGCGGCCAACUAAGUCGGGCGUGAAAUCCCACGGCUCAACCGUGGAAGUGCACUCGAAACUGGAUGGCUAGAGUCCUGGAGAGGAAGGUGGAAUGCUUGGUGUAGAGGUGAAAUUCGUAGAUAUCAAGCGGAACACCGGUGGCGAAGGCGGCCUUCUGGACAGUGACGUGACGCUGAGACGCGAAAGCGUGGGGAGCAAACAGG